GGUGACAUAGCUCAAGUGGUAGAGUAUCUGCCUUAUAAGCAUGAGACCCUGCAUUCCAACUCCAGUAUCACAA
rnacentral:tRNA from 1 species